UCGAAGGUGGGUAUGGUUUUGAUAGUGACAAUGAAUUACAAUGACUAAUUGAGAUAGAGAAGGCUCUUUAGGUGUUUGCAAUCACACGAUUUUGAUGUUAUUAGUAUCUUUUCUGCUAACACGAUGAAUCUUAUACAGGAAUCAUCGGUGACUUUGAUGGUGCAAAUGUACAUUGAUUGAAUACUAGAACUAGUUCUAUUUUGAUGUGGCAUCUUUCUGAUCAUUGGCUUCUUAUCUGACAAUUUCUUGUUGACAGAUUCAGUCAUUUAAAAUUCUGCUUUUGAUGUGAUUUUUUAAACAUUGGGUUUGUUAUGCUGACAAUUUUUUUGGCAGAUUAAAGUCUCAUCAAAGCAGCAGAGGUUCUGUAGAGAGAGAAAUAAUGAUUUUUGUACUUGGUUUGAUUCUUUUUAUAUUCAUAGUCCAUUCUUCACUUAGUGUAUACUUGACAUGAUAGUGAAAUAGUGAUAAAUUGUGGUUUCUAUCCUACCAUGGGUUAAAACCUUUAUGAAAAUCUAAAUUUAUAAUGGUAUAAUUUCUCACCAUAUAAUUAGUUCUUCUUAUAUGAUGUUAGCUGUCAUUCAUUGAUUAGUUUGCACUAUUUUAUAGUUGAGAAAAAUUAUUUUCAUGUAUUUUCUUAUCCUAA